AGGGUAGAGCCAAGAUGCUGUUGACCAUAAAUACUUCCAUUAGCCAAUGGAAAUAGUCACGAGGUUUGAUUCAUGGUGGAGUUUUGCCUGUCAUGUUAGGAGAAGUUCCCAGGUACCAGAGCAGAUGGUUUUACGAUUAAAGAACCCCAGAGGUGACACGAGCAAUCAUAAUUUCAACCACUGCUUCUGGAGGACUGUAAAUGCGUUGCUUAAAAUCAUUCCAUGUCUCAGGGAAACAUCUAUUUCACCAAUGAAAACAAAUGAGCAGAACAAGGUGGAAUGCAACAGAGAGAGACCUGAAAAUGCUAGAAGAGAAAAGUAGGACAAGAACUGUACCACUGCCUCAGACAGCACCAAAAAAUUAAGUAAGAUUGAACAAACUCCAAAAUCCUGAGUGACUUAUACAUGUGCUUUUAUAUAUUUACAUACAGAUGAUGAUGAUGAUGAUGAUGAUGGAUGAUGAUGACAGAUAUGGAUAUAUACAUGUGUAUAUGUGUACGUAGGAUGGAAGAACUUACCAAUGUCCCAGGUAAGGGGGUUAUUCUGUUCCAUCUCCCUCUUCCCUAUGACAUACCAAAUACAGGCCAUCCAGUGAGCAAGCAAGGCAAACAUGGACAUGAGAAGCGUGAGAACGAUUGUGCUGUGCUGGGUAACGAUCCAGCUUCUGAAGGAGACGCAACAGGCGGAGCAACCGCACCGUCUUUAGAAGGUGGACAAGGGAAACCUAGGAGAAGACGAAAGAAAAAACUUGUCAGCAGCUUACUUCUGCCACACAGAUUUCUUGCUGCAAUGAAAGGAAAUUCAGAAGCUCUAUGAAAUUUUGUCCGCUCUUCACAGUUACAUGGCUACUAGACUAAAUCUUAAGA